CAGUAGCCGCGGGAAAACGAAGGGUGCAAGCGUUACUCGGAAUUACUGGGCGUAAAGCGUGCGUAGGUGGUGGUUUAAGUCCGUUGUGAAAGCCCUGGGCUCAACCUGGGAAUUGCAGUGGAUACUGGGUCACUAGAGUGUGGUAGAGGAUAGUGGAAUUUCCGGUGUAGCAGUGAAAUGCGUAGAGAUCGGAAGGAACAUCCGUGGCGAAGGCGACUAUCUGGGCCAACACUGACACUGAGGCACGAAAGCGUGGGGAGCAAACAGGAUUAGAUACCCCUGUAGUCCCUGUCUCUUAUAC
rnacentral:rRNA from 1 species